UACGUAGGCGGAAUAUUAAGUCAGUGGUGAAAUCCUGCGGCUCAACCGUAGAACUGCCAUUGAUACUGAUGUUCUUGAAUAUAGUUGAGGUAGGCGGAAUGUGUAAUGUAGCGGUGAAAUGCUUAGAUAUUACACAGAACACCGAUUGCGAAGGCAGCUUACUAAACUAUUAUUGACGCUGAUGUACGAAAGCGUGGGGAGCGAACAGGAUUAGAUACCCUGGUAGUCC
rnacentral:rRNA from 1 species